UACGAAGGGGGCUAGCGUUGUUCGGAAUUACUGGGCGUAAAGCGCACGUAGGCGGAUAUUUAAGUCAGGGGUGAAAUCCCGGGGCUCAACCCCGGAACUGCCUUUGAUACUGGGUAUCUCGAGUCCGAGAGAGGUGAGUGGAAUUCCGAGUGUAGAGGUGAAAUUCGUAGAUAUCGGGAGGAACACCAGUGGCGAAGGCGACUUCCUGGCCUGUUCUUGACGCUGAGGCGCGAAAGCUAGGGUAGCAAACGGG
rnacentral:rRNA from 1 species